rnacentral:sRNA from 2 species
GCACUUGGACCGAGAGAGGUCCCGCGUUGUUGCCUUGUACAAGCUUCACAGGUCUCCCCGGCGCAAUUGCGGCCGCAGGCGUUUUCCUCCCUCGCCUUGCGGCUAUGCGCCUGCCUUGCCUCGCUUGCGCUAACUGCGCAGCGAGGCAUUUU